AACGAACGCUGGCGGCAGGCUUAACACAUGCAAGUCGAACGCCCCGCAAGGGGAGUGGCAGACGGGUGAGUAACGCGUGGGAAUCUAUCGUACCCUACGGAACAACAGUUGGAAACGACUGCUAAUACCGUAUACGCCCUACGGGGGAAAGAUUUAUCGGGGUAUGAUGAGCCCGCGUUGGAUUAGCUAGUUGGUGGGGUAAAGGCCUACCAAGGCGACGAUCCAUAGCUGGUCUGAGAGGAUGAUCAGCCACAUUGGGACUGAGACACGGCCCAAACUCCUACGGGAGGCAGCAGUGGGGAAUAUUGGACAAUGGGCGCAAGCCUGAUCCAGCCAUGCCGCGUGAGUGAUGAAGGUCUUAGGAUUGUAAAGCUCUUUCACCGAUGAAGAUAAUGACGGUAGUCGGAGAAGAAGCCCCGGCUAACUUCGUGCCAGCCGCCGCAGUAA
rnacentral:rRNA from 1 species